GGCGCCAUAGCUAAGCGGUUACAGCGACAGAUUAGAAUUUGAUCCGGGUCACGUGACUCCACUUCAACGACUAUCUGUUCCUCUUUGAGGGCGCAGGUUCGAAUCCUGCUGGCGUCG